UUUAGGGACAGAGAGGAACACUGCUGGAUGCAGACUGUAAAUAGGAUGUUUACAGAAAAGGAUUUAGUAGGACUGACAUCAGGAUGAUGUGAAUGGAUAGCUUCAGGACGAAGUAAAGGGAAUAGCCUAAGGAUAGGUCAGGGACACCGCCACUGGAUGGUCGAGAGAAUUAAGCUUGGAUGGCUUGAUGGGUUAAGGAAUAACCAAAGGACUACUCUAGGAAAGAGUUUAGGAUUACGCUGGGAUUAAGCAAGUCAUGGAUUGAUAGCAGGGAGCACAGUAGUAGCUGGAUUGCUGCGAGUAAGACCUAAGGGCGCAACGGAUGUUGCGCCCGUUCUUUUUUGU
rfam:Photobacterium damselae subsp. damselae CIP 102761 Contig58, whole genome shotgun sequence.